UGGGAUAACUUCGGGAAACCGGAGCUAAUACCGGAUAAUAUUUUGAACCGCAUGGUUCAAAAGUGAAAGACGGUCUUGCUGUCACUUAUAGAUGGAUCCGCGCUGCAUUAGCUAGUUGGUAAGGUAACGGCUUACCAAGGCAACGAUGCAUAGCCGACCUGAGAGGGUGAUCGGCCACACUGGAACUGAGACACGGUCCAGACUCCUACGGGAGGCAGCAGUAGGGAAUCUUCCGCAAUGGGCGAAAGCCUGACGGAGCAACGCCGCGUGAGUGAUGAAGGUCUUCGGAUCGUAAAACUCUGUUAUUAGGGAAGAACAUAUGUGUAAGUAACUGUGCACAUCUUGACGGUACCUAAUCAGAAAGCCACGGCUAACUACGUGCCAGCAGCCGCGGUAAUACGUAGGUGGCAAGCGUUAUCCGGAAUUAUUGGGCGUAAAGCGCGCGUAGGCGGUUUUUUAAGUCUGAUGUGAAAGCCCACGGCUCAACCGUGGAGGGUCAUUGGAAACUGGAAAACUUGAGUGCAGAAGAGGAAAGUGGAAUUCCAUGUGUAGCGGUGAAAUGCGCAGAGAUAUGGAGGAACACCAGUGGCGAAGGCGACUUUCUGGUCUGUAACUGACGCUGAUGUGCGAAAGCGUGGGGAUCAAACAGGAUUAGAUACCCUGGUAGUCCACGCCGUAAACGAUGAGUGCUAAGUGUUAGGGGGUUUCCGCCCCUUAGUGCUGCAGCUAACGCAUUAAGCACUCCGCCUGGGGAGUACGACCGCAAGGUUGAAACUCAAAGGAAUUGACGGGGACCCGCACAAGCGGUGGAGCAUGUGGUUUAAUUCGAAGCAACGCGAAGAACCUUACCAAAUCUUGACAUCCUUUGACAACUCUAGAGAUAGAGCCUUCCCCUUCGGGGGACAAAGUGACAGGUGGUGCAUGGUUGUCGUCAGCUCGUGUCGUGAGAUGUUGGGUUAAGUCCCGCAACGAGCGCAACCCUUAAGCUUAGUUGCCAUCAUUAAGUUGGGCACUCUAAGUUGACUGCCGGUGACAAACCGGAGGAAGGUGGGGAUGACGUCAAAUCAUCAUGCCCCUUAUGAUUUGGGCUACACACGUGCUACAAUGGACAAUACAAAGGGCAGCGAAACCGCGAGGUCAAGCAAAUCCCAUAAAGUUGUUCUCAGUUCGGAUUGUAGUCUGCAACUCGACUACAUGAAGCUGGAAUCGCUAGUAAUCGUAGAUCAGCAUGCUACGGUGAAUACGUUCCCGGGUCUUGUACACACCGCCCGUCACACCACGAGAGUUUGUAACACCCGAAGCCGGUGGAGUAACCUUUUAGGAGCUAGCCGUCGAAGGUGGGACAAAUGAUUGGGGUGAAGUCGUAACAAGGUAGCCGUAUCGGAAGGUGCGGCUGGAUCACCUCCUUU
rnacentral:rRNA from 1 species